GAUGAACGCUGGCGGCGUGCCUAAUACAUGCAAGUCGAACGAAACUUCUUUAUCACCGAGUGCUUGCACUCACCGAUAAAGAGUUGAGUGGCGAACGGGUGAGUAACACGUGGGCAACCUGCCCAAAAGAGGGGGAUAACACUUGGAAACAGGUGCUAAUACCGCAUAACCAUAGUUACCGCAUGGUAACUAUGUAAAAGGUGGCUAUACUACCGCUUUUGGAUGGGCCCGCGGCGCAUUAGCUAGUUGGUAGGGUAAAGGCUUACCAAGGCAAUGAUGCGUAGUCGAAUUGAGAGGUUGAUCGGCCACAUUGGGACUGAGACACGGCCCAAACUCCUACGGGAGGCAGCAGUAGGGAAUCUUCCACAAUGGGCGAAAGCCUGAUAGAGCAACGCCGCGUGGGUGAAGAAGGUCUUCGGAUCGUAAAACCCUGUUGUUAGAGAAGAAAGUGCGUGAGAGUAACUGUUCACGUUUCGACGGUAUCUAACCAGAAAGCCACGGCUAACUACGUG
rnacentral:rRNA from 1 species